GUCAAUAUGUCCGAGUGGUUAAGGAGACAGACUCAAAAUCUGCUGAUGUUCAAUUUCUUACAAGAGGUUUUUCACA
rfam:Brassica napus, WGS project CCCW01000000 data, contig: 8586